GUUAAGGUUCGCACACACGAAAAUCAGUGGGGACGCGGCCUGUGCACGUGUAGAAAGAGAGAGGGGCGAAGGGAGUCGAACACGGCCGAAGGUGAAACCCGCGAGCCGUCGUAGUCUCGCAGUCGGCGCGAGACCGCGCUACUGGAAGGGUCGGUGUGUUGUCAUAUAUGUGAAUGUACGCAAACGCCUCUCUCAGAUUCUCUCUUUCCACCGCACUCACCUUAUAUUCACCUCACUCGCACGAGAAUACCGACAACGACAAACAAAACCAUUAGACGACAGAGUAUAGGAGAAAACGCGCGAGGAAAGAAGAGACGAAGUUGGCUGCGUGUCGCGAACCACCCCUUCCCGCUCGCCGAGUGACCGAAGCAGAGAAACAGUUUUUUUUCUCAUCUCGUACGUAGAGGAGAGACGACCGCGUUCGCAAACCGCGUCCAAAAGUUAAGUACACGCGAUCGAAAUUUUCAUAUCCAUUUACAGCGUCGCUGUACGACAAUUUACACAGUACGAUAUCAACACGGUGAGCCAGGGGUGUGAUCUUAGAGAAGAGAAGUUACACGAUCGGUUGGAUACCGACGGACCGAAGAAGUCUGUGAUCUCGAUGUGCCUGGUUGUAUAUUGUUUACGAAACGUAUCGGUUCGUAGCGUGUUUAUGCGCAGCUCACGAACAGAACUGGGAAGAAGUGCGUUCGCAGGAACGUGUGUGUUUACCGAGCAAAGGAUACGCUUUUGACGACUUUGAUCGUCGAUCAACGAGGAACUUUUCCUCUUUAAAAUCGUAGUGCCAUUUUGUUUAAUGAAAUUAAAGUAGUGAGAGACAGAAAAACGAGUGUCGUGCCGCUGUAUUACCGUUUAGAUAGGAAAACGAAAAAGGAAAGAUAACAGGGGCGCAGCGUGGAUUGUGUGUGAUAUUCCAUCUACGAUCGAUCAUCGUAGUAUUACUGGUGUUGAUUGUUGUUCGAUAGUCGUCUAUAUCUACCGCCCGAGUUGUGUUAACGACCGUGUAAAGAAACUCGUUGCGACGGCUCGGAGACGAUCGCUACUGUGAUAACGAACGAUAUUCGUUUUGAAAUUAUGUUCAGUGCCUGCCUCUGUGAUCCGUGACAUUACUACCGUCGGAAGUAUACCUCGAAACCGUCGACUAGAUCACCACGUUUAAGUGUCAGAACAGAAGGAGUUGAAUUUUGAAAGCAUCGGAUGCGCGGGAGCCUUUAACGAUCACCGGGACGAGGUGGGAGGCAGUACGGUGGUAGCCGAGGG